UUGAUCAAUUAAUUGGGAACCAUCCCGUGCAUUGAGUACUGGCUAGAAGGCCAGAAGUAGUAGUUAGGAAGGAACAAAUUAAAAACCUUCCAUAGAUUAUAUAUAUCUAGUACAUAUAUGUUGUUAUAUAUAUCCAUAUAUGCUAAUAUAGGUAGAUAUGUGAAAUUAUCAUAUAUUUUGGGACAGCUACCAUGCUUUCUUUCUGAGCCUAGCUAAUUACACUAAACUACAUAAUGAUUAUAUGAAUUACAAUAUGUAUAAUGAUCAGUAGUACCUCAUGACCUGAUCAGCAUGCAAGUAAUGCAUACAUUUCCUUGAUGUGCCAACAAUAUAUAAGAGAAUUGGCUGCGAAAGGAAUACCCCAUGCACAAAUUAAAGAUACAGGAAGCGCAAGCGGGCGGAUAUGUAUUUCCUAGCUAACUAGACUCAUAUGGCAACAACUUUCUAUCGUGAUUAUUAGAGGCUUCCCUCCCGCUACACAACCGAUACCUGGACUUAUCUAGCAUUUUGAAAUUCAUUGGAAUGUUCUCAUAAGCACAAAAAUAAUGAAUACAAGAUGCUAGCUAGCUUUAAAUUUCUUGAAAUAAUUCAACCAGGCACGAUUGCUGAUGUAAUAAGAUUUGAAUGAUUCGAAUUUCAAUAAAAUAUAUACUUGAUAUAAAGGUUAAUACAAUGAAUUUGAAAAUAAUGAUCAUACUUUAAAAGAAGAAUAUCAAAAGAUAAUUACCAUGAAAAGAUUAGCAAGUGUCAAAUUUGAUUCUCUUUUUACCUCCAGUUAAAAAUAUAGAGGAAAAAAAAAAAAAGAGAAAAGAAAAGGAUGGACUGAGAUUCAAUGCAUCCAAGCACCGGGUCCGUUUUCAUAUCCCACAUCGAAAGCAUGAGUUCGAGUGGGAGCCAGUAGGACCUUUCAAAAGGAAAUGAGCAAGUCUGAGAAACAUACUUACCUGGGCGGGGUCAAUGAGUGAUCAAGAAGGCUCAUGGCCUAGGCUGGUGACCUCCAUUGCACCUUGGGGAGGGGUACCCGCCUAAGGUCUCCCCAAUGUGGGAGAGCCUACGUCAUAAUUUGUGCCAGUGGGGGCCUGCGUUCGCGCGGCCCCUGCCUAUCGUCUCUAGUUCAAACUGAUCUGCCGCGUUCUUCCAUGUGAGAGAGAGGUUCAUAUCCUAGGACUGUAUUCCAGUUUUUCAUACCAACAAAGAAAAGGCAUCUUUUUCUUGACGCAAACCAAGCCAUUGUAUUAUCUGCUCUCGAUAGAGAGGUCGACAACCUACCUCAUUAUGCUAUGCUCAACUCAACUCUGUUCAUUAUCGAAGGUUUGCAUCAUCCAUCUCGUAAAACUUCCUCAAGGUCGACAAGUACCUCAUAUGAUGCACCCAUCUCGUAAAACUUCGAUGUCAUCUUGAGUUCUUUGUAAUGUCUUUCAAAGUAGAGUAGGUUUCAUCGGUUUUACGGCAAUGAUGUGCCAAUUUGUCUCUGAACAUCUCUUCUCUGUUUAGAAAUUAGAUCAGACCACUAUUGAAACCACAAAACAAUACUUCUUUUGCUUCCCACAUUUUGUACAUUAGUUAUAUGUAUAUUACUAACUUCUUUUGCCAUCAUCUUUUUAGAAAGAAACUAAAUUGAAUCUUUUUUGACAUUUUUUUUGGAAGCCCAAGUCAGUUAGAGAUCACACUAGUCACUACUCAUAACUCGACAAUCAGGAGUACAAUUUGAGCGACCUUCUAAAGCCGUUAACAGAAAUAUUCUGAGAGAGAACGAACUAGAAUCAACCUCAAGCUCUUUGCAUUGUGUAUGCAUACUUCUAUUAUCACUCUCAGUCCAAUUGUGAAGGGAUUGGCUAUACAGAAUAGAAUAUUCUAUUUCUAGUCCCACAUCGAUAAGGUAUCGAUGUAGACGUGGAUAGUUCCGAGUAUAAAUCUAAAGCACGCCGGAUUGAGCAACAUACUUACCUGGACGGGGUUAAUAGGUGAUCAAGAAGGCCUAUGGCCUAGGUUGGUGGCCUCCAUUGCACAUAGGAGGGGUGCCCGUCUAAGGUCUCCCCAAGUGGGAGAGCCUACGUCAUAAUUUGUGGCAGUGGGGGCCUGCGUUCGCGCGGCCCCUGCCU